rnacentral:rRNA from 1 species
CCUAAAGGCGUAAUGAAAGUAAAGGUUGUCCUUGCGACAAUUGAGGGAGGAUGAGUUAUAUUACGAUGUAUCUCCGCACUCCCGGGGUGUCUCAGUCUUAUUACAAGARGAGGCGCACCCAGAGCGUACACGUUGGGACCCGAAAGAUGGUGAACUAUGCCUGGUCAGGAUGAAGUCAGGGGAAACCCUGAUGGAGGUCCGUAGCGGUUCUGACGUGCAAAUCGAUCGUAUGAACUGGGUAUAGGGGCGAAAGACUAAUCGAACCAUCUAGUAGCUGGUUCCCUCCGAAGUUUCCCUCAGGAUAGCUGGCACUCAUAAGUUCUUAUGAACUUAGACGAGUCUCAUCUGGUAAAGCGAAUGAUUAGAGGCCUUGGGGCCGAAACGACCUCAACCUAUUCUCAAACUUUAAAUGGGUGAGAUCUCUGGCUUGCUUGAAUAUAUAUUUAUAAUGAAGCCAUGAGAUUUCGGAUCAGAGUGCCAAGUGG